rnacentral:rRNA from 1 species
AAAUGAAUAGACGGGGACUCGCACAAGCGGUGGAGCAUGCGGUUUAAUUCGAGGCAACGCGAAGAACCUUACCAGGUCUUGACAUCCCGCUGACCGGUCUAGAAAUAGGCCUUUCCUUCGGGACGGCGGUGACAGGUGGUGCAUGGUUGUCGUCAGCUCGUGUCGUGAGAUGUUGGGUUAAGUCCCGCAACGAGCGCAACCCUUAUCAUUAGUUGCUAACAUUAAGUUGAGGACUCUAAUGAGACCGCCGGUGACAAACCGGAUGAAGGUGAGGAUGACGUCAAAUCAUCAUGCCCCUUAUGAUCUGGGCUACACGCGUGCUACAAUGGCCGGUACAAUGAGUCGCGAAGCCGCGAGGCGGAGCUAAUCUCAAAAAGCCGGUCUCAGUUCGGAUUGUAGUCUGCAACUCGACUACAUGAAGUCGGAAUCGCUAGUAAUCGCGAAUCAGAAUGUCGCGGUGAAUACGUUCUCGAGUCUUGUACACACCGCCCGU